GGGCUGGUUUUAGCUCAGCGGUUCCUUCGGCUACUGAAUCAGACGUAGUCACCAACUUGGUGGUGGUUCGAGCCCCGCGGGCGCUUUCCCAGUCCUUUU
ensembl:vault_RNA Vault Vault RNA